rnacentral:rRNA from 1 species
UACGGGGGGGGCAAGCGUUGUUCGGAAUUACUGGGCGUAAAGGGUUCGUAGGUGGCCUACUAAGUCAGACGUGAAAUCCCUCAGCUCAACUGGGGAACUGCGUCUGAGACUGGAAGGCUUGAGUGCAGGAGAGGAACGCGGAAUUCCGGGUGUAGCGGUGAAAUGCGUAGAUAUCCGGAGGAACACCAGUGGCGAAGGCGGCUUUCUGGACCGACACUGACGCUGAUGCGCGAAAGCUAGGGGAGCAAACGGG